rnacentral:rRNA from 1 species
UACGAAGGGUGCAAGCGUUAAUCGGAAUUACUGGGCGUAAAGGGUGCGUAGGCGGUUCGUUAAGUCUGUCGUGAAAUCCCCGGGCUCAACCUGGGAAUGGCGAUGGAUACUGGCGAGCUAGAGUGUGUCAGAGGAUGGUGGAAUUCCCGGUGUAGCGGUGAAAUGCGUAGAGAUCGGGAGGAACAUCAGUGGCGAAGGCAGCUUGCUGGGACGGCACUGACGCUGAGACGCGAAAGCGUGGGGAGCAAACAGG